ACCCGACAGGCUCCGAGCAGGCACGUGAGGAUGGCAGGGUCCCCCCGCAAGGAACCUGAUCAGCCCCUUCCUCUGACGCAAAGCCAGAGAGCAGCAGCAAAAGCACGUGGAGGGAGCAGGUAUGAAAGAUGCAGAGUGACAGAGAGCGUCUGCUUGCCCUGCCAAUGCUCAGACACACACCUCCACCGGACACUCCCGUGGGCCACGGGGAAUUCAUGCAGUACAUAUUCAAUCCCCAAGAGGGAGGGCUCCGAGUCCCGGAUGGACCAAGGGAAGCUAUAAGCAGGUGGAUGGUCCCAGGAGCAUUCAAAGUCACACAGGAGGUGCAAGAAGUGCUCCCACGCCACGCAGAGCUCCUCACCGCCUGCAGCUUUUCCGUCAGCUCCCGCCGUCGGUUCCGGCACUUGGCUGCGGCCAGCUUGUUCCUCUCCCUCCGGAUUCGACGUUUCUCCUCCUCUUCAGGGGAUAGCUAGAGGCCAAAGUCAAGGACCAUGAUUAGGUUUGAGUAAAUGCUCCACCAGCUUUUGUUUUCUAACUGUAUUUUAAGAAACUCUGCUGAGAGGCACCUGGGUGGCACACCAGUGAUCUCAGGGUUGUGAGAUCGAGUCUCACUUUGGGCCUUGUGCUCAGGGUAGAGCCUGCUUGGGAUUCUCUCCCCCUCUCCCUCUGUCCGUCCUUCUCAUGUGUGCACGCAUACUCUCUCUCUCUCUCUCUCUUUCAAAUAACUCAAUAAACCUUUAAAGAUACAAAAAAAAGAAACCCUUCCUUUUUUGAGUGUGCAGGGAGAAAAAGGCGAGAGGAGGGUGGCUGGCAUGAGCAGUUCCAGAAUACGUGGCUCACUGCUGUAGC